rnacentral:lncRNA from 1 species
UGACAAACCCAACCAGCCCUUGAAAAUGGUCCCUGUCAAGGGCAAGUAGGGCUACUCCUACCCACAGAGCACUUUCUGUGGCCAGAGGAGUUAGUGGUUUGUAUCAGACCUGCAAAAACAGAACCUGGAUGUGGCUGCAGGGCAUGGCAAGAGGAGAAUUUUCUGAGGGCAGCAAGAUACCUGGCUAUGUCCCCAGUGGCGCCUUUCCAAGACUUCUGGCUACACAUCUUUCACCUCCCAGCCUCGUGCUGAACACUGUUGGGGUGCAGUUGGCCUGCCUGCCUCACCCGUGGGCAUAUUGGGACACUCCUGUCAGGGUGUAGUUAGACCUAAAAGAGCUCUCACCCCUCUCAGGGAGGCUUCAUGACUGAGGAAUCUGAAGGCAGAUCUGGCAGAAGCUGGGAAGGGGAAGGGAAUGGAGAGUAAGAAGGGGGACCUGCCAAAAACAUGCACAGACAGUUCGUAGGCAAAUGCAUGUUCCCACAAAAGACAUAAUAGCUGUGUGUGUAUGAUACCCUGCUGAAGUCCCCUUAUAUGAUCAUUCCAGUUAGUCUAGCCACCUUGAAAACAUAUUUCAAACCCUGGUUGAGUAAUCC